AUUGAACGAUGGCGGCAGGCCUAACACAUGCAAGUCGAACGAGUGGCGGACGGGUGAGUAAUGUCUGGGAAACUGCCCGAUGUAGGGGGAUAACUACUGGAAACGGUAGCUAAUAACGCAUACCAUCGGAUGUGCCCAUAUGGGUUUAGCUAGUCGGUGGGUUAACGGUUCACCUAGGCGACGAUCCCUAGCUGGUCUGAGAGGAUGACCAGCAACACUGGGACUGAGAACCGGUCCAGACUCCUACGGGAGGAAGCAGUGGGGAAUAUUGCACAAUGGGCGCAAGCCUGAUACAGCCAUGCCGCGUGUAUGAAGAAGGCCUUCGGGGUGUAAAAGACUUUCAGCUGGGAGGCGUUAGUCGCAGAAAAAGCACCGGCUAACUCCGUGCCAGCAGCCGCGGUAAUUC
rnacentral:rRNA from 1 species